rnacentral:lncRNA from 1 species
ACACGUGAGCCCGCUUAGAGGUAAGGGAUGAGUUUAUCGCAAUUGGGGAUUAGAAUGAACAUGUGUAGGGAUCCUUAGAGAACUAAAUUUGGGUUUAUUUUGGGAUGUUUAUUGAAUUAUAAUUUUCUCUUUAUGAUUAUAAAUAUAAUAUUAUUGUGUUCUAUGUACCAAUUGAUGUCCUGAUGAGAAUUGAUUGAUAAACUUGAGUGCUCUUGAUGUCUUUGUGUUUAACCCAUGAAUUUGAUUAAUUGAUUGUGAUAUAAUUGUGAGAAACUAUUUCAGGGAUUUUACACCCCAUGUUGUGAUGAAAUCUUUUGUAUAAAUUGUUAUGUUGAGAUUAUGAAAUGAUGAUUCAAACUGUGAGUAUGUGAUAAAUUCAACAUGUGACGGAUGAUGAAAUACAUGUGUAUUGAGAUGAGAUGUGUGUAUUGAGUUGUGAACUAUGAACUGUGCAAUCACACAAUUGUAAGACCCUUUAAGGGCGACGAGUAUUGUGAUGGGAUCCACUGUGGGAAUCCGACGAGUUAAAAUGAUUUUGAAAACAAUUGAGUAGAUGUGUGUAUUGCAUAGUUCAUAGGUAAAGUGUACAUGAUUCAUGAGGUGUGAUAACAUGUUAAAUUGAGAUUAUACCAUUGUGAUUGGGAUUAAAUGUAUGUGAUAAAUUGAGUAUGUAUAUGAUUCAGAUAUAUAUGUGCAUCGAGUUGUGAACUAUGAAUUGUACAAUCACACGAUCAUAAGUCCCUUCAAGGGCGACGAGUUAAUGCUAAGUCCCUUUUAGGACGACGAGUUGAUGUUAAGUCCCUUUUAGGGCGACGAGUUGAUGCUAAGUCCCUUUUUGGGCGACGAGUUAAUGUUAAGUCCCUUUAAGGGCGACGAGUUAAUGAUAAGACCCUUAAAGGGCGACGAGUUAAAAUUAUUUUGAGAACAAUUGAGGAGUCGUGUGUUUUGUACAGUUCAUAGAUAGAGUCUAUGUGCUAAAAUAAUUUUAGGGGUUGGUCCUGAAUCAGGAGGGAGAGGCCCUGACGGACUCUUCGGAGUGUAGGCCUUGGGGGUCACCGGGUUUGAAUGCUCCUUUAAGCCUAUGUUGAUCCCAUAUGGUUGGAGCAUUCUCGCAAAAUAUCGUGACCCUGACUGGUCUCCCUAUGAUCUUACUUAGUGAGAGUGACCUGACAAACACAUUGUGUGGUGUGUCUUGUUAUGUACUCCUAAGCACCCCAGGGUGGUUUUUCACUGACAUGGUACCACAUUGCAUAUAGGCUUGAGUCUUAGCAUAACUGUCGCAUACGCUUGCUAAUUGUUUAUUAUGAAAUUGAUGUGUUAUUAUGUCUUGAUCGGAGUGUGUGAUUCCUGUGUAUAAUGAUUGAUGAUUGAAAGGUGUGAUUGAUGAAUGACAAAGUGAUGAAAUAAUGUGAUAUAUGCUAAGUAAAUUGUAUUUGGCUACUAUAUGUUGUGUUGUUUCUCUUUAGUAGUUAGCAAUGUGAUAACUCACUCCCGGUUUGCUGUUUGUGUUUGGAUC